rnacentral:misc_RNA from 1 species
ACAUAAAGCUAGCUAAGGAAUACAGGGAGUAUGGUACGGUGCACACUUUCUUAAUCUUUUGAUGAUCAGACUGGUUCAGAUCCUGCAGUUGUUUUGAGGUUGCAUACUUCUUGGAUAUUAGUCUUUCAUCUAGCGAAGGUUUUUCGUCGAUUUGGAAUAUGCUUAAAUGCAGAACAAGGUCUCGCACAGCCCCGGGUCUGGUAUCAGCCUCUAGCAGGCCCAGAGCUAAACCAAACAGGAAGAAUGAAGUGCAGGCCGUCAAAAAAAGAUCCAAAAGUGGCUCAAAACAGCUGCAGGAAUUCAUAACGCCGACAUUCACAUGGGACAUUCCCAAAGUAGACAAACAGGCCAUUUACAAUGAUCUUGGGGUGAAAGAAAUGGACACCGGAGGCGCUGUUGAUGGCAAACAGUUAUUGCUUGGCAAGAGGGCGAAUAACAAGAGAAUAAAGAAACCUGCAACAGUUCCUAGCCGUGCUGACAAGGUUAAAGGUCACCUAGUCUCCCCUAACCAGUUCAAGUCUCAACAGGCUCACAUUCACAAUGGCCGUUACUGCAGCUGUAAGAAGCAGUUAGACCUCGAGGAUCUCUCGGAUCCAUUUUGCAGACUAUCAGACGAGAUCAUGCUAGGUAUCUUCUGGUGGUUGCCAAUGACAACCCUGGCCCGCUGUGCAAGAGUCUGUAGGCGCUGGUACCAUCUAGUAUUUGAUGACAGUCUGUGGAGACGGAUAGACAUCUCCAACAAGACUUUUGCCUCGGGAAUCCUCGGACAAAUCUUGCAGAGAGGCACAGUGGCUGCCAAAAUUUCACGUUGCUCCAUACACGGUCCUGUGUUUGAUGCUGUCCUCACAGAAUCACCAGCCAAGAUAACAAGAUCGGCUUCAAAGGCAUCCAAACUUUCCAAAUGCCAUGUUGAGUCAGCGCUCAGACAAUCCCUUCAUCUGAAGUACAUUGACCUAACGGCCACUGAUGCCAGGCCAGAGCAAUUGGUGGAGAUUCUUGACCGUUGCCCUGGUAACCAGAUCAAGAAACUCAGCCUGGAGAGUUGCAGGGUGAGCGACGAAGUCAUGAAGUCCAUCGCCAAGCAUGGGCGGAGCCUAAAGGAGCUCAACCUGUGUAUGUGUAGCGGCCUGAAAGAGGCGGGGCUAAGAGCGGUAUUGAGAAACUGUACAAAAUUACAAUCACUAAAUCUUGGCUGGGCCAACCUGUCCCGUAAAGAGAUUGAUGUCUUCAUGGAAUAUGUACCUAAAAGCUUGGAGAAACUCAACCUGAGUGGGUAUAGGCAAACGCUAAGAACUGUGGGUAAGAGGAAAGGACAAUGUCCGCAUUGUUGCAAGAUAAGGGAUAAUCAGUACAGGCCAAGCUUAGGGUGCUGUGAACAUUUAGCUGGAUGGUUGUAUUAACUUUUCAAGAAACCUUGUACUUCCCUCUAAGCACAACAGCCUAGAUGUGCUUACGCUGCAUAUGUUGUUCUACUAACUUGUAGGUGUCCAGACAUGAAAGAAUUGGACCUUAGCGAUGCUGCGGUGAUAGACUUUGCAGCGAUU